rnacentral:tRNA from 1 species
GGCGGCUUUGCGCUGGAACACCCCGUUCGCAAAGGGGGGGGCUGGGGGGGCUUCAAGCCCCCCAGCCGCCG